CCUACGGGUGGCAGCAGUGGGGAAUCUUGCACAAUGGGGGGAACCCUGAUGCUGCGACGCCGCGUGAGUGAAUAAGUAUUUCGGUAUGUAAAGCUCUAUCCGCAGGGAAGAAAAUGACGGUACCUGACUAAGAAGACCCGGCUAACUACGUGCCAGCAGCCGCGGUAAUACGUAGGGGGCAAGCGUUAUCCGGAUUUACUGGGUGUAAAGGGAGCGUAGACGGCAGAGCAAGUCUGAAGUGAAAGCCCGCGGCCCAACGGCGGGACUGCUUUGGAAACUGCCCGACUAGAGUGAUGGAGUGGUAAGCGGAAUUCUUAGUGUAGCAGUGAAAUGCGUAGAUAUUAGGAGGAACACUAGUGGCGAAGGCGGGUUACUGGACAGUAACUGACGCUGAGGCUCGAAAGCGUUGGGAGCAAACAGGAUUAGAUACCCCAGUAGUC
rnacentral:rRNA from 1 species